UACGUAGGUGGCAAGCGUUGUCCGGAUUUAUUGGGUUUAAAGGGUGCGUAGGCGGCCCUGUAAGUCAGUGGUGAAAUACUCUAGCUUAACUAGAGGGGUGCCAUUGAUACUGCAGGGCUUGAGUACAGACGAGGUAGGCGGAAUUGACGGUGUAGCGGUGAAAUGCAUAGAUAUCGUCAAGAACUCCGAUAGUGAAGACAGCUUACUAGGCUGUAACUGACGCUGAGGCACGAAAGUGUGGGGAUCAAAC
rnacentral:rRNA from 1 species